CCACACUGCCCUCUCCCACACCAACGCCGCCUUCCCCGCCCCCGCCACCGUCUGCCUUCGAUCUCCUCCGCCGACCUAUGCGACCCCCAUCAGUGUCGAUGGCGCCCGGUGCGUCGAGGUCGACGUCGCCUCCUUCCAUAGUCGUGCAAGGUUGAAUCCUCGGCUCCCUCCCUUCGGCACCACCGACGGUGUGUCGAGGUCGAUGUCGCUCCCCUCUCCCGCACCAAACCCCGCGGAGAAGUCCGAACCUCCUCCAUUGGCCUGCGAGCAUGGUGAUGAGAAGCGAUAGAGGAACCGUUGCUUCUUGGCUCCUCCGCUGUCUCAGGGUCGUCGCGCCACCACCAUGCUGUCGCGCUCCUAUUCUCCGUGGCCCUCCACGCCCCAGCGCUGACGAGGACAGAAGGGAUCCCCGCCACUGCUUCCUCCACCCAGAAGGGAGAGUGGUGCCCGCUCUGCACUACGCUGGCACACCAUGCUGCUCAGAUCCGUCAUGGUGGAAACCCGAUACAGAGGAAGGGAGUAGAAUACGUAGGGAAAAAGAAGAAGGAAACAGCAGUCUUGCAAGCGAAUAAAGAAACAAUAGCUUGCUCACAAAAUUUCCAUGAUUGGUAACGCUUCUUUUCACACAUAUAAUCUGAUUUUCACCACUAUUAAUUAGAAACUACAGGAUUGUAGACACUGAGUCAUCACAUUGGUUAACACAAGUGAUUUAUUUGAGAGGAACACAAGUGAAUUUUACCGUAGUUAUGCCAGUUCUAUUCUUCUUUUAGAAAAUCCUUUUUAUGGAUUGAUGGUGGGACUUGGGAGCAAACAUAUACAUGUGUGGAAGCUUCUCUUUGCAUAAUUUGGUUACUGAUGCAUCUAUAUUUUUCCUCUUAACUUGGGGCUCUUCCAAAAAGGAAGCACCUCAUGUGUGAGAAUUGGUUGAUCUUGCAUUUUACUAUGUACUAUUUUCUAUACAACCUGAAUGUAUUAGAAGGGUCAACAUUCAUGAAACUAUAACCAGCCGUAGUAAUCUUGCUAUUGAUAUAUACACACUGAAAGUCUAAAGACAUGCUAGUAAAAGCUACUUUCUUUGAAAGCAGCAAUACCAUUUAUAUUCAAUGGGACUUCCAUUGCCGCACCUUUGAUUGCUUUUUAAUCUUGCUAUAGAUAUAGACACACUGAAAGUCUGAAAAUAUGCUGGUAAAAGCUACUUGCUUUGAAAGCAGCGAUAAGGUUUAUAUUCAACGGGACUGCAAUUGCGACACCUUAUAGCUACAACUCCUCUUGAAAUUGAAUUGUGAAAGGAUGUGUCAUAUUGGAAGUGAAACUGUGUGCAUGUAAGCUCUAAUCAAGUUCUUCAGGUGGAAUUCAACUUUUUUACGACAUAGUAACACAGUAAUGUUUGAUGGCCAUCAAGGCAUCAACACAAACAUGUGUUUUUGAUUCACUCUAUUUAUUGUAUGGUUUAGAAUCAUGUUAGACGCAUCCCAGUUUUGGAACUGUCUAAACAUACAGACACCUAUUAUCAUACUAGCACCCAGUUUUCGCCGAACGACUCCACCAACGACCACCAUCCUCCGUGGAACGCCUUCCUUCGUCACGAGAUAGCUUCCUCUCCGAGCAGGCCUCCUCCUGGCAAGCUUCACCGAGCACGAACCCGCGGGUACGCAUCCUCCACAUCCUCUGCAACGAAGCAACAGAGCGUCGACCGUCCACAACGUUCUUCCCCUGGAUCAAUAGCGCUGCCUCCUUUUCCCCUUCAUUGUCAGGUGAGAUUUCAAAUUUUGUGCCUUUUUUCUUCCGACCUAAUUCUACUGUCAUCACCAAAAGAGCAUGCCACCAAUUUGGAAUAUCUGAUAUAGUUGUUAGCUUGUGCUGCUAUGAAAUGUGUAAAGGUGCAAUAGUCCUGAAAUGGUUCUAAAAAUGGAACUCAAAAAUAAACAUAGAUGAACACUGGUACUGUUAGUAGCCCUUUAGAUCGAAGGACACGGAACCUUUUUGAUUAAUAAGUGCAUAGCUUAAUUUGCUUCGCUGACACCUGACUAAGUUGCUGAGUUGAGCUUUGGAGUUCAUUUUAAUUUGAGAUGAAAGAAAGAUAUUAAUUUUAAGUCUUCAGUCCACUUGUUUAGUCCACCUGACUAAGUUGUUUAGUUGAUGCCCCAAAGUAGAACCAUCUUUGUUUGUGUUGUGCGAAAUACGAUAUGUGUGCAGAACAGGUGAUGUGCUUUUAUGAUAUAGAUGAUGACAUUCUUACUGCUAUCUUGGUUUUUGUAUUUUCUCAAAUGACAUGUUUUAGUUAUGAUGAGAUGCAAGAGAUGAUUCAAGAUAUGGCACAUCAAGUACAUGUUUCUCUGAGUUUGAAUCUUAUUCUUGCACGCCAGUUGGGUUAUCAAGGUUUCCCUACAGAAGUUGAUGGAGGUUUCGAAGAUGUUCAAGCUGCUGAAGAUAUGGUAGAGUGAUUAUGCUUUGUUUGUGGAACCUAUACACUUGCUCCGAUCAUUUUGCCAGUUGUUAGGCCACUAUAUGCUCAUUUUGGUUGUGUGGCACCCAAGAAACUUAUGUUCUUUUGUGGCACAUAUUUAGAAACAUAUAUGUAUUGUACCUUUUGUGGCACAACCUGCUUAUAUAUAUAUAUGGUUGUUAUGUUAAUUUAUCAAA